rnacentral:rRNA from 1 species
AGAGAGAGACAUGCGCGCAUAUCAAUAAGCGGAGGAAAAGAAACUAACAAGGAUUCCCUUAGUAACGGCGAGUGAAGCGGGAAGAGCUCAAAUUUGAAAUCUUCAAGGUUUUACCUUGACGAAUUGUAGUUUAAAGAAGUGUUUUCUGCUGAAGUUUUGGUAAAAGUUCUUUGGAAUAAGACAUCAUAGAGGGUGGAGAAUCCCGUAUUUGACCAUUAUUUUCAGCUUUGUGAUACACUUUCAAAGAGUCGGAUUGUUUGGGAAUGCAGUCCAAAAUGGGUGGUAAAUUUCAUCUAAAGCUAAGUAUUGGCGAGAGACCGAUAGCGAACAAGUACCGUGAGGGAAAGAUGAAAAGAACUUUGAAAAGAGAGUUAAACAGUACGUGAAAUUGUCAAAAGGGAAGCGUUUGACACCAGUGUUGUUUUCUCGAAAAUCAAUUAAAAAUGGCUCGAUUUUGUAUUGCUUGAGACCUUAAAAGCUCACUGUACAUUUUUCGUGUCUUUUUUAAUGCACUUUUCGUUUAACAAGUCAACAUCAGUUUCUUUUGUUGUAAAAGGGUCAUUGGAAGGUGGCUUUCUUUUCGGAGAAAGUGUUUAUAGCCUUUGGCCUCUGCAAUCGGAGAGACUGAGGUCUGCAGCGUAGACUCUUCGGGGUUAGAUACAUUUGUGCUAAGUUAUAGCUUUUUAUAGACAACUUGUUGACUAUAAUUAGUCUUGUAGCUUACUCGCUUAUGCUAUUUUACCUACGCUUAGGAUGUUGAAGAUGUAGCACAUCAU